GUUGUUGUCGUCCUAUUUUUCUCUUUUCGGAUUCGGCUCUUUGUCUUAGCCUUGUCUUGGCCCCUUCGUCCACUUUCUAGGUCUUGAGAAGAGUCUGGAGGGCAUGGCUUGGACCGUGGAGCAACAGGGGGCCGAGGCGGUGGCAGACCUCUUUCAAGACCUCGAUGUGGUGGGCAUGCCGCGGGUUGGACCCAUGCGGCCUUGCAUGCAAGCCCUGGGCGACUUCGUAUGGGGUGAGCUCCGCAGGGCUGUCCACCUCGGGUGAAGCGAGCCCUGGUGGUGGUCGCUUCCCACUACGAGAUUGACCUCGAGCGGGUGUGCGACGGCUUC
rnacentral:lncRNA from 1 species